UAUCGGAACGUACCCUGGAGUGGGGGAGUAACGGUAGCGAAAGUUACGCUAAUACCGCAUACGAUCUAAGGAUGAAAGUGGGGGAUCGCAAGACCUCAUGCUCCUGGAGCGGCCGAUAUCUGAUUAGCUAGUUGGUGGGGUAAAGGCCUACCAAGGCAUCGAUCAGUAGCUGGUCUGAGAGGACGACCAGCCACACUGGAACUGAGACACGGUCCAG
rnacentral:rRNA from 1 species